UACGGAGGAUGCAAGCGUUAUCCGGAAUGAUUGGGCGUAAAGCGUCCGCAGGUGGCUGUGUAAGUCUGCUGUUAAAGAGUGAGGCUCAACCUCAUAAAGGCAGUGGAAACUACAUGGCUAGAGUGCGUUCGGGGCAGAGGGAAUUCCUGGUGUAGCGGUGAAAUGCGUAGAGAUCAGGAAGAACACCGGUGGCGAAAGCGCUCUGCUAGGCCGCAACUGACACUGAGGGACGAAAGCGUGGGGAGCAAACAGG
rnacentral:rRNA from 1 species